UGUUACUGUUAACGAGUGAGUGUUACUGUAGUUAUGGAUAAGAAAUUAGGAAGAUAACGCAUAGAAUAAUAUAUAUACAUAAUUUAUUUGCAUUGUUAGUUUAUAUUUAUAUAUAUGCAACUUUAAAUCGUUGCUCACAAAAAAUUAUUCUGAGCGAAGUUAUAAUUAAUGAUAUGUUUUAAAAGACUUAAAUCGCAUGUAAAAAAAAAAAAAACUACUACCUAUGCACAUUAAAUUCAAUUUGUUGCCAAAUGAUAUAUUAUGGGAUAUUUUUAUAACUCAUUAUAGUAGGUUUGA